UUUCAGGCAUCUACAGCAGCAAAUACCAAUGAAGCCCCCAAUGACAAUGAAAGCCACAAAUAUGGACCCAACAAGGAGGAAAGGUCCUCUGCCUGAUUCAGUGCACAGGUAAAUCCUUGAAAACCUGAGCUCACGUGUGUUCUGCAUGGACAUGAACUUCCUGGAGCAUUUUUUUAUAAAUUCAGGGGGCUGCUCUAGUGCUCUUGUCCAAAAUCUCCCCUCUUCACAUGGUUUUGCAGUGGACUGUGCUCUCGUCAUCUACGAGGCUGCUGCCACAGAGCCGGCUGCACUAUAGAUGUGGUGUGGAUGGUCCAAAGAUUGUAUGUGCAUAUGUAACUUGUGAACUACUUUGGGAUCCUUUCCCCUGGAAAGCUCUAUACAGACAGACUGGGGUGCUGGUUGCAAACAGCUGUAAUAAAUGUGAAAUGAUAACA